UUAUUUUAUUUUUUUGGAUAAAAGUUUUAUCUAUUAUAUAUUAAACGUUCUUGCUGCUGCGCUGCAAAGCCAUAGCAGAUUCGAGGCGCUUUUGAGGGCCGAAUUACUCUCCAAGUUGAGAGAUGUCCUCGGGUUGAAUUGAAAGCCCUACCCAAAACUGCAGUGGGAAGAGGGAGAGCCUUUGCCUCCACUGCCCCACCCUCACCCUCCUCGUAGACCCUCUGCCUUUUGAAAGCAGAUCGUUUUCACUGAGAUGUUGGACAUUGCAGAUGUCUGUUCCCCAGGCCAGCAGGGACCUCUGAAACCUUCAUGGCCUGGCCUUUUUUUUUUUCCAUCCUGUGGUUUUUCUAAUGGAUAUCCAGGAUUUUUGUAAUCGCAUAGCUAUCCAAGCUCUACUUCCUAAAUUUUAAGAACUUUAAUCGAAAGUUAAAUUGAAGGUGCUGUUUGUAGACACUUAAUACCCAUGAAAGCCCAGCCAUCAUGACAAAUCCUUGAGUGUUGUCUUAAGAAAAUGAUGCUGGUCAUCACAGCUUCAGCAUCUCCUGUUUUUUGAUGCUCAGCUCCCCCUGCUGAUCUCAGAGUUUCCUGGCUUCUCCUUGCCCCCUCUCACCCCUUUGCUGUCCUGUGUAGUGAUUUGGUGAGAGAAAUUGCUGCCUACUCCCCCAGCCUACCCCCACCCCCUGCACUACACAUGAGUUUCAAGUUUUAUUAUUGCAAUAAAAGUGCUUUAUGCUG
rnacentral:lncRNA from 1 species